GCUUAAUAAUUCAAAUAUUGAUCAGCAAUACAAACUCCUGUACAAGAAGAACUUGUCUGGCUGUUAAAAUGGACACACAGAUGACUCUUCUCCUGAUUUUUACUGCAGUCUCAGGUGGAUUUGCUGAUGGAAUUGGACCAGAAGGAGACGCAAAUAUAAUCAGAAAUGAUGGAGAAUCUGUGACAUUGACCUGCACAUAUGAGACAGACAGCAAUAAUGUUCUGCUUUACUGGUACAGACAGUCUCCUAACACAGAACCUCAGUUUAUACUGUAUAAAGGUGCUCGAUCACGGAGUGAUCAGCGUAUACAAGACAAGCGGUUUAAAUCUGAAACAUCUCAAUCAUCCACUAAACUGAUAACAGACCGUGUGUCUCUGUCAGAUUCAGCUCUAUAUUACUGUGCUCUGAGAGUUGGAGCCCAGUGA